GACGAACGCUGGCGGCGGGCUUAACACAUGCAAGUCGAAUGGAAAGGCCCUGCAUUUGUGGGGUGCUCGGACGGCGAACGGGUGAGUAACAAGUGAGUAACCUGCCCUCUACUUUGGGAUAACUUCAGGAAACUGGGGCUAAUAACGGAUCGGAGCGCCUCCUGACCGGUGGGGGUUGGAAAGUUUCGGCGGGAGGGGAUGGACUCGCGGCUUAUCAGCGUGUUGGGGGGGUAGUGGCUGACCAAGGCUGUGACGGGUAGCCGGCAUGUGAGGGUGACCGGGCACAAGGGGACUGAGAGACGGACCAGACUGCUACGGGAGGCAGCAGUGGGGAGUAUUGCGCAAUGGGCGGAAGCGUGAGGCAGCAGCGCCGCGGGUGGAAAGACGGCCUUCGGGGUAGAAAGCGCGUAAACCUGAGACGAAGCGUCAGUGACGGUAAUGGGUGAAGAAGCACCGGCUAACUACGUG
rnacentral:rRNA from 1 species